UGAGUUGCUGCCAACCUGCUUUUAAAGGAAGGAAACAAACGUUGGAGUGGAGCCCUGCUUGGAGCAUGCUGCUCCUCUACCUGCAGGAGCCGUGGGUGCUUUGAACACCGCCCAGCUCGCUGCCUCUGCAGGGCUGAGCGCUUCCCCUCCACUCCUCUUCUGACUGCGUCGCCAUUAGGUGCAAAUGAAAGAGAUGAACUGAUCAAACGCUCCUUGAGAUGGCUUUAGGGUUUCAGACUGAAUACUUUUUUUAAUUAGCUCCGUGUAAAGACUCUUAUUACUUCAAAUAGCAGCCAUGAAACCGGGAGCCUCGCAGUUUGAUCCUUUGUUUUUCCUGGUGCACCGGAAAUCUCAGUAGCUGUAGGUUUUAGACCCAGCUAGACACCCCAACCACAACUAACAGCCUGCGGAAACAUCAAGUGAUUAUCUUCUAAGUAUGCCUAUCAGGGACACAUGAAAGGAAGUGCUGUGUGGGUAUAGUAUUAGACUGACAAGUAGCAGAGCAGUCGGUUGCAUCUUAACAGGAGCGAAGAUGCUUUUCUCUAAUAAAGCAGAGGAUGCCACAGCACAAGUCUGAGGAAUUUCACGACUUCUCCAGCUGACGAAAAGAACGGUCCUUGGAUGAAGAGGAGACCUGCCCCUGGGCACAUAGAGAUGUUGGUGUUGGAUCUGUGUUUUGGGAGAAGCAUAAUGUGGAGGUCCUCUUGGUGUACACACAACGUGGUUUUCCUGAAUUUGGUUUAUUUAGCACAUUCUAGGGCUGUUUCUAGAAGAACCAAGCCCUUUAUUCUUCCAUGAACAUUCCUUGAACGUUCUUGACAUCCUACCUCUUGCAGAUUAUGGGCUGCUUUAAGGGAAUCUGAAAAUACAAGUAGGAUGCCAUGAAAUUUUGUACUGCUUAUGCAGAUUGUUCUUUAAAAGGUUAUGUUUUAUAUUGUUUUUGUUCUGAGAAAAUAAACCAAUCUGAGAAAUA